GUCCUUUAGACACAAAGGUUUGGUCCUAGCCUUGACAUCAAUUAUUACUUAAUAUACACAUGCAAGUCUCCGCAUCCCUGUGAAAACGCCCUUAAAUCCCCAUUAGGGAUAAGGAGCUGGUAUCAGGCACUAUAAUUUGCCCAAGACACCUAGCUAUGCCACAUCCACAAGGGAUCUCAGCAGUGAUUAACAUUGAACAUAAGCGACAGCUUGAUUCAGUUAAAGUAAAAUAGAGCCGGCAAAUCUGGUGCCAGCCGCCGCGGUUACACCACGUGGCUCAAAUUGAUAACUAUCGGCGUAAAGCGUGAUUAAAGUUCAACCACUAUUAGAGUUAAACUAAGACUAAGCUGUGACACGCUUGUGCUUAAGAAACCCAAAAACGAAAGUUACUCCAACUUAACCAACUUGAACUCACGACAGCUAAGACACAAACUGGGAUUAGAUACCCCACUAUGCCUAGCCGUAAACUUUAAAUUACACCCACAUCGCCAGGGAACUACGAGCAAAGCUUAAAACCCAAAGGACUUGACGGUACCCCAUAUCCACCUAGAGGAGCCUGUCCUACAAUCGAUACCCCCCGCUAAACCUCACCACUUUUAGUCUACUCAGCCUGUAUACCUCCGUCGUCAGCUUACCACGUGAGCGCAACUUAGUGAGCUUAAUGCCCAUGCGCCAAUACGUCAGGUCAAGGUGCAGCAAAUGAAGUGGGAAGAGAUGGGCUACACUCUCUAAUAUAGAAAAAACGGAAGAUUAUCUAUGAAACCUAAUCUAAAGGCGGAUUUAGAAGUAAAAAGAAAAAAGAAUGUCCUUUUUAACCCGGCACUGGGGUGUGUACACACCGCCCGUCACCCUCUUCAUAGCCACCAAAAAGUAAAUAACCUAUUAAUGCAACACAGAAGAGGCAAGUCGUAACAUGGUAAGUAUACCGGAAGG
rnacentral:ncRNA from 1 species